CCUACGGGCGGCUGCAGUGAGGAAUAUUGGUCAAUGGUCGAGAGCCUGAACCAGCCAAGCCGCGUGAGGGAAGAAGGUCCUGUGUAUCGUAAACCUCUUUUGUCGGGGAGCAAAAGCUCUCGUGAGUCCCCAAGUGAGAGUACCCGAAGAAAAAGCAUCGGCUAACUCCGUGCCAGCAGCCGCGGUAAUACGGAGGAUGCGAGCGUUAUCCGGAUUUAUUGGGUUUAAAGGGUGCGUAGGCGGACUGGAAAGUCAGCGGUAAAAGCCAGAGGCUCAACCUCUUCCCGCCGUUGAAACUGUCGGUCUUGAGUGGGAGAGAAGUAUGCGGAAUGCGUGGUGUAGCGGUGAAAUGCAUAGAUAUCACGCAGAACUCCGAUUGCGAAGGCAGCAUGCCGGCGCCACACUGACGCUGAGGCACGAAAGCGUGGGUAUCGAACAGGAUUAGAUACCCCUGUAGUC
rnacentral:rRNA from 1 species